rnacentral:lncRNA from 1 species
AAAUAUUUUGAACUGGCUUGACAAGAACGGCUUUUUUCCCCCCCGUAGAACUGGUUUCCCUUGUGGACUGUUGGAAUUACUGAGGUUGGGUGAGAAUAUUCUUGAUUUGCCUGAUGGUCCUAGGCGUGGUUUGCUGACACCUGCACGUCAGCCUUCAGAGCAUUUUAGCAACAAGGAAGGAUUAUCUCUACCAUGGUACACAGCGAGAAAGGAAACUUACUCGUCGCUGGGUUCUAAAUGCAACAGGUGAAGGACAGGACCUAGGCCAUGCACUCAGUGGAGGCAUAUUGGACCAUACUUGACACUUCGUCAUUGCCAAGCUUUUUACUCUGCCUUGCCUUUGUCUUUGCCACGGCAGCAAGCCUUGCGGCUGUCUGCAGCUUUUGCCCAAAGCUAACAUUACCAGGAUGGAAAUUCUUCAAUUCCAAUGAUCCAGAGUCUCAAGUUAAUUCAGUGACUUUCAACCAUCAAUCGGUUCAUUCAGUGUCACGUAAUUCUACGUCUCCAACUCCUGUUUUGGACUUUCCAAUUGGGGAUGGAUUUUACGAUGGUGACAUGAUGUACGAGACCAUCCCAGAAGAGACAGUGAUAAAUCCGCAUCACCAUACUCUUGCCAGAAUUAGAGAUUCCCUCAAACACCAGACGGAAUACCAGAGGCGGACAGAUGUCGUCUCUCCAACACCUGUCCAGGCGAAUUUGCAAAGGAAUUUCCAGGUAGGGAACAGUAACAAUAUCCUUCUGUCUUCUGCCUGAAACAGUUUCUGUCAAUCUCACUUACUGUAUAUUUCCCAUCACUACUCGAUCAUAAUUGUGAAGUUUCACUUCGAUUGAUGAAGCGGUUCAAGAGAAAGAAUUAAAAAAAAAACAUUUUCACUCAAUCCAAUAUGGCUGCCAAACUGUGUGACAUCAAUUAUUCGUGAAUACCCUCAUAUCCCCAAGGUUUGGGGAACAUUUGUGUGAAGAUUCCCCUCGAUCUGUCCAGGCGUUCUGGAGAAGAAGAUUUUUUUUGAAAAGGUUUCAGCAUAAAUCCAAUAUGGCUGCCAAACCAUGUGACCGAUGAUAUCAUAUUUGUGAACGUUUUGUUCCUCGUGGAUAGGCGGUCACACUUGUAAAGUUUCGCCUCGAUCUGUUCAGUCAUUUUAAAGAGGAGGAUUUUUAAAGGUUAAAAAUACAAACAAACAAAAAGAAAAAACAAUAUUGCUUCUAAAAUUACGUGACUGAUAACAUCAUCAAUUUUUUUUCUAUGGACCAAUUCAUCCCUUGAUGACCCUCAAAAAUUUUCAUACUGAUCAGAUGUAACGUUCUACAUAUGCAAUGAUGUCAUAACAUUAACAAAGGCACCUUUGAUGUCAUUAAAAAAAGUCACACAUUCCCCCUGAGGAGUGCUUGCUAUGGGCCAAGUUUCAAUCUUUUCCUUGGUGCAGUUUCAGAUACAGAGGUCCAAAGUUUUUCCGUUUUUCCAACAUGGCUGCCACACCACAUGACCUAUGAUGUCAUAAUUAUCAAUGAAACAUUAUUAACGAGUAGUCACUCCGAUGGUAAAAAAAAUUCAUCUCAAUCCGACAAGCUGUUGCGGAGAAAAACACUAAAGUUCUGUGCAGACAAACAGACAGACAGGAAAACGGACCCAAAUUCAAUACCCUUUCCUCUGGCAAGGGUAGUCACCAAUUGCUUUAGAAACAGCUGCGAGGACAAAGGACAAAGGAGGAUGCUGCUGAGGUUGAAAGGUGAAACGUCCACCACGGAGCCAUGUAUCACAGGCCUAGGUGCAUGUUGAGUCCACGCACCCGUGAAUCCCAUACACCGCACACAUUACCAAACAUGCAGCCCCCCCCCCCCCCCCCCCCCCCCCCCCCCCCCCCCCCCCCACCCACACACACACACACACACACACACACACACACACACACACACACACACACACACACACACACACACACACACACACACAAACCAAAUAAACCUCCAAUUUCU